GACAUGGAACGAAGGCAGCAACAAAAACUGAAGAUGCAAGCUGAGAUUAAGCGCAUCAAUGAUGAAAACCAGAAACAGAAAGCAGAACUGCUGGCUCAGGAGAAGCUGGCAGACCAGAUGGUGAUGGAGUUUACCAAGAAGAAGAUGGCUCGAGAAGCAGAGUUUGAGGCUGAGCAGGAGAGAAUCCGGAGGGAGAAAGAGAAGGAGAUCGCACGCUUGAGGGUCAUGCAGGAGAAGGCGCAGGAUUACCAGGCAGAACAGGAUGCCUUGCGGGCCAAGCGCAACCAGGAGGUUGCAGACAGAGAGUGGCGCAGAAAGGAAAAGGAAAAUGCGCAGAAGAAGAUGGAAACAGAGGCUGAGCUGCGAAAAAGUCGGCUCGAACAGGUGGCUUUCAAGGAGCACGCUCUGGCUGUUCAGGUGCAACGGGACCGGGAUGAGUUCGAGAGGAUUCUUCGGUAGGAGGGGCCUGGGAACCUUGGAUUCCUUUCUUUGUACUGUAGCAGGGAUGGUCCAUAUUGGAUAGAGAGAAGCUUUCUGGCAUGUUAACAGAUGCUCGUCAAUCUUGUCUGGGUUGGUGGGAUCAUUAUAACUAGAUGGAUGAUUGAAACUUUUAAAAAUCACUUGAGCCAAGAAUUUUGUGAUUAGAGAAUUGGGAGAUAGCACCUGGAAUUGCUUAAGGAAUUGGUGAUGACUGGGAUUAUUUACCCUGGAGCAGUAAAAGUAUAAAUAAAGGUAAAAAUCUGGUCCA
rnacentral:sRNA from 1 species